rnacentral:piRNA from 1 species
UAACCUUUGCCAUGAUCUGACUGGAGC